rnacentral:rRNA from 1 species
GCAGGCCUAACACAUGCAAGUCGAGCGGUAGAGAGAAGCUUGCUUCUCUUGAGAGCGGCGGACGGGUGAGUAAUGCCUAGGAAUCUGCCUGGUAGUGGGGGAUAACGUUCGGAAACGGACGCUAAUACCGCAUACGUCCUACGGGAGAAAGCAGGGGACCUUCGGGCCUUGCGCUAUCAGAUGAGCCUAGGUCGGAUUAGCUAGUUGGUGAGGUAAUGGCUCACCAAGGCGACGAUCCGUAACUGGUCUGAGAGGAUGAUCAGUCACACUGGAACUGAGACACGGUCCAGACUCCUACGGGAGGCAGCAGUGGGGAAUAUUGGACAAUGGGCGAAAGCCUGAUCCAGCCAUGCCGCGUGUGUGAAGAAGGUCUUCGGAUUGUAAAGCACUUUAAGUUGGGAGGAAGGGUUGUAGAUUAAUACUCUGCAAUUUUGACGUUACCGACAGAAUAAGCACCGGCUAACUCUGUGCCAGCAGCCGCGGUAAUACAGAGGGUGCAAGCGUUAAUCGGAAUUACUGGGCGUAAAGCGCGCGUAGGUGGUUCGUUAAGUUGGAUGUGAAAGCCCCGGGCUCAACCUGGGAACUGCAUUCAAAACUGACGAGCUAGAGUAUGGUAGAGGGUGGUGGAAUUUCCUGUGUAGCGGUGAAAUGCGUAGAUAUAGGAAGGAACACCAGUGGCGAAGGCGACCACCUGGACUGAUACUGACACUGAGGUGCGAAAGCGUGGGGAGCAAACAGGAUUAGAUACCCUGGUAGUCCACGCCGUAAACGAUGUCAACUAGCCGUUGGAAUCCUUGAGAUUUUAGUGGCGCAGCUAACGCAUUAAGUUGACCGCCUGGGGAGUACGGCCGCAAGGUUAAAACUCAAAUGAAUUGACGGGGGCCCGCACAAGCGGUGGAGCAUGUGGUUUAAUUCGAAGCAACGCGAAGAACCUUACCAGGCCUUGACAU